UUACGCGAACGCAUGAGUUGCGAGUAUCCGAGAUUUUGAGAUCUCAAUAACGAGUGAACGGAUCAAUUUCUAAAAACGUCCACGUCGGACAAAAAUGGCGGCUGGUGUGUCACUUUCCCAUUUUUGACACGAGAGUGCAUUCGUGCACUGUCGCAGUGCGUGACAGUGACAGUUUUUUACAACCUAGAAAAGGAUAAGUGUAAAGUGUGUGAUAGUCGUGACCGUUGCCGCGUCGUGACAGAUAGUGAAAUAUAUAUAAGUAUUGACCGUAGAGAGCUGAUGCCGAUAGAUCUUUAAGAAGGAAGGUGUAUCUACAAAAUCGUACAAACACAGAGAUGUCGAGGAGAUCUUUAAAAGAAGGAAGGUAUAUUCAAAAUGGCACACGUACGUAUAUGCUGUCUUGUAAAAGUUGUCGAACUAUAUGUUUACGCGAGUGAGUACAUCUAUAUAGUAACUUACAGUAAUUCAUAUUAAGAUACGUCGUCGUCUCUCAAUCAGAGAAACGUAACCUUCACUACUUUCAACGGUGGCUCUUGAUUUCCGAUCAUAAUAGUUACUAUAAAAUCUCCCGUUUACGCGGAGGAAUUAUCGUAUCGUAAGUUACUACAGAAGUAACGUUUGCGUAAAUAGGUUAUAAAAAUAACACGAUGUUAUAUAUGUGGUUUGCCGUGAAUAUAUAUAUAUGUGUGUGUGUGUGUGUGUGUGUGUGUGUGUGUGUGUG